UGAUCCUGGCUCAGGAUGAACGCUGGCGGCGUGCCUAACACAUGCAAGUCGAGCGAUCUUCUUCGGAAGAGAGCGGCGGACGGGUGAGUAACGCGUGGGUAACCUGCCCUGUACACACGGAUAACAUACCGAAAGGUAUGCUAAUACGGGAUAACAUAUAAAAGUCACAUGGCUUUUAUAUCAAAGCUUUUGCGGUACAGGAUGGACCCGCGUCUGAUUAGCUAGUUGGUAAGGUAACGGCUUACCAAGGCGACGAUCAGUAGCCGACCUGAGAGGGUGAUCGGCCACACUGGAACUGAGACACGGUCCAGACUCCUACGGGAGGCAGCAGUGGGGAAUAUUGCACAAUGGGCGAAAGCCUGAUGCAGCAACGCCGCGUGAGCGAUGAAGGCCUUCGGG
rnacentral:rRNA from 1 species